GCCGGUCUUUACUUCCGAUAACUUCGUUCUCGUCCGAUCACCGAAGUUAAGCUCAGUAGGGCGCGGUUAGUACUUGGAUGGGUGACCGCCUGGGAAUACCGUGUGCUGUAGGCA
rnacentral:rRNA from 1 species